rnacentral:lncRNA from 1 species
CUCUCCUGCUGGUUGAGAACGCUUGCUAUCUCUGCGCUUCCUGUUGGCUGUUGUGAACAUCCUUUUUUCUUGUGGAUUUUGACAAUCCUUUGAAGUCAUGAAUAUACAAGAGCAUGAAUAAGAGAAGAAAAGAUGGAAGAUAAAAAGCAGAAGGAUGCAGAGCAUAUCAAUAGCUGGGACCUGAAUUAGCACCAUAUGGAGCAGAGUUCUCUUCCAGCUAACCAAGGGCACUUCAUCACCAAAGCAACAAGAUGUGGAGCAUGAGCAGUUCAACCUUUGAAGAUAACUCAGACUAAUUUGGCCAGCCUCUCCGUCUGAGGGUCUGAGAUCAUAAGAAGAAAAAAAAGGCUGUAUGAAGACCCAGAAACCUUCGGACCUGAGAGAAAAUUAAUUUAUGUUGUUAAAGUCACCUAGUCUGUGGUGUUCUAUUGUAGCAGUUUAAGCUGACUAAUAGACUUACAAAGAUCUUUGUGGUAGCAAAAUCUCAGUUCAGUGAGCAAACUCUGUGUGAUCAGCUGUAUUUUCUCAGGCAAAAUGAUUCAGUGUGACUUGUCUCCUCUUCCUGCCUCAUUUCCUAGUCUGGAAUCAGACAGACACUGCCAAGAUCUCUUUACUUAAUUGGCUCAGAACUGAAACACAGAGUAUCUAGGGGAGUUAAGAGGAAAGCCUGGGGGAUGUAAAGAAAGAGUCACUUUCUGCCCCUGUGUCUCUGCUCAUGAAGGAGGAGG